CUGGGAUUAGUGACGUAGAUAAGACCAACAUUAUCAUAGUUCAGCCCUCUCUGCUUUGCUUGGGUACGCCCUCAAAGACGAGGGUGGGGAGCGCCGAGUCAGAAGAGAGCUAAAAUGGCGGAGGUUGGGAGUCCCUGCUUUGACUCUGUUUGCAAACUCUUGUUUCAUCGUUUAAGCGAUUAAAUCUCUCGAGUAGACGCUGUCUCUUUAGAUGCGAGGGCAAAAUAGCACUUUAUGGACUUCCACAGAGGACAUCAUGUUUAAUACGGUUCCGGAAAAAUCCAGUCAGAAGUUGUUCACGGAGUUUUCACAAUAACUGCUUCUCAUUAACCGAAGCUGGAUUUGCGCGACGUCUCCUCUUGAAAGUUGGAUUACUGUGCACUUCUGGAUCACAGGCUAUUCGGAGCUGGACACAUCCUUCUACACUGUAUGCAAACAUGCAACAUCAUAACACACAGUACAAGGAGUCAGACUGGCAUAUGAGGAGCAAAGGAACCCACGCAGUAGCAUCGUUUCACAAUGUUUCCAUCACCAUCAUCAGUGGAUGCCUUUGCCGUCCGUAGCCUGAGAUUUCAGAUUUGCAGCAAAAAAAUUUGAUUUUCUCAUUUAUUGGAAUGCUAUGCAGGUUGUACCUUGCAGCCAUCCAUUACAAUGUCACCAAGCCGUAACAAAAGCAGGAGAGGGAAAGUACAAGGCUAUGUUCCCAAAACACACAAAUGACAUACCUUAUGUGGAUGAUCUGAUCAGGCUUGUGUUUGAUGAGGUAUUUGAAGAUAAGCUGAAGGAAACCCCGAUUCCAAUGGACCCGGCAUCACAGUUUGAGAGACCUUCAAAGGAGGACGUGAUUGCAUGCCAUCUUCAGUGCAGGGGUCGUCGGAAGCCAACAUUCCGAUCAGGAAGCAAGCAUAUCUGGAGAACAACACACGACAGGAUGAUAACCCUAAAGUGUCAUCUUAGAUAGCAUCAGCUGACAAAGCUUUGAUAUGCCAUUUAUCUGAAUAGAUAGCUGUAAGAAGUGAAUUGAACAAUUUUUGAAAGAAGAGCACAAUAUGGUUACUAAAGUAUGUUUAUUUGUAUAUUGUUUAACAUUUAAAUAUAUAUUUGUAAUAAAUAAACUUUUGACUGA